rnacentral:lncRNA from 1 species
GGCAAGGGCACCAAGCUGUGUCAGGGGGUCCUGUAAUUAUGUGUAAAUAUCUGUACAGCAGGCUGCUCUCUGUUCUCUGUCCACUGGUGUGCAUUGAUUUAGAAACCUCUGCUUAGGGAAGACUCUGUGAAAUUGUCUGAUGGUUUGUGUGGAAGAAAAGAAAAAUCUGUCUCUUUCCUCCCUUCCCACUGGUGUCAAUUGAAUAAAUAUAUGCGAACUUCAGCAGUCACCAGCUCCGUCUGCUUGCCUGCACUCCCUUGUCCUUGUUGGGGGCUCACCUAGAAGACCCCAAGCUCCCCAGCAGAGGGGGAGUGAGGAAGGGUCAGGCAGGCAGAGGAGGGUUUGGGCUUAUCAGAUACUGGGGGCACUGUGACGUUUGCCUUCAGCUGCUAAUGGGGCCAGGUCUCUGGGAAGCCAGUGACCCCUCCAGCACUUUCGUUUUCACUCCAGUACUAGGAAGGUUUUCACCAUGGAAUUGGGCACAUGGAUUCUGUUUCAAAUGCACCUGAGGAGUCUUACCUCCUUCUUGUUUAGUUUUAGCAUGGCCUGGGUAGAUCUGGGUGCUAAGUGCUCUUGAACACUGUAUCCACUGAGUACAGGGCGAGUUAAGUCUCUUGAUGCACAUUCUGUGUGCCUCUGUAUAGAUGUGUGCAGGGGCUUUUAUGGAGCUUGGAUUGUUUUGUGUUUGGG